CUUUUUGUUUGCUUUGCAAUCCUAGCUUACUUUCGUUUAUACUGUGUAGCCAUAUGAAUCUCUCACUCAAACUUCCAGGGCCUUUUGGGGAAAAAUGAGAAGCUAAUGGGGCUUCCCUGGUAGCUCAGCUGGUAAAGAAUCUGCCUGCAAUGCAGGACACCCAGGUUCGAGCCCUGGGUUGGGAAGAUUCCCUGAAGAAAGGGAUAGGCUACCCACUCCAGUAUUCUUGGGCUUCCCUGGUGGCUCAGCUGGUAAAGAAUCCACCUGCAAUGCGGAAGAAGCUAAUGAGAGCUUUCUGUACAGUGAGUGGGGAGCAGAGGGGCCUGACUGUUUAAAUUAUUUACCCUGGAGAUAUUCAACAUCUACAACCUCACAUUAGAACCUUCUGCUCAAUGGGCAGAUCUCCCUGCCUACCCCUCCCUCACCAGCAUGAAUCACGAGGAGGCCCAGAACUACUUUAGCUGGGGGAGGGGGCGCUGGUGUGGUCCUGGAAUAUCCCAGGAGAGGUCACCAACUCAGUGCAUCCUGCUUCAGCUCCAGCACUUCCAGCUGACAUCCAUCCUGGGGUCCAAGGUGGAAGUUCUGAAGCAGUCGGAGAGUCUGAGCGCUGUCCUGGGCCGGGAGCCCCUGCGCCUUGUCCUGCAAGCGGGGCGCGUGGUCCGCCUGUGCCCCCGCCGAGCCGAGCCACGCUGGGCCCUGAACGUGAAGCGGGCGGUGCUGAGCCUCCUGCAGAGUCAUCCAGGUGUCCGCGACCCCCACACCGUGGAGGAGGUGGACAUCCUGGGCAGGUGUCCCACCACGUACCAGCAACUCGGAAGCAGGCUGCACAAAACCAAGGCCCUGGGGCAGUGCUCCCUGCGCCGGGUGCGCGCCUCCCUGCGCUCGCAGGCCCUGCCCGCUGCGGAGGAGGUGAGAGCGGGGCUCGCCCCCACCCUGUCCUUCCUUCUUGGCCCACUCCCUGUUCUCUUCUCCUCCUUUCCAG
ensembl:lncRNA